rnacentral:tRNA from 1 species
GCCGGGGUAGCGUAGCCAGGUAACGCGCGAGCCUGGAGAGCUCGUGGUCCUCACGGGCCGCAGGGGUUCAAAUCCCCUCCCCGGCGCCA